UACACUCCUACGGGAGGCAGCAGUGGGGAAUUUUGGACAAUGGGCGAAAGCCUGAUCCAGCAAUGCCGCGUGAGUGAAGAAGGCCUUCGGGUUGUAAAGCUCUUUUGUCAGGGAAGAAACGGUGAAAGCUAAUAUCUUUUGCUAAUGACGGUACCUGAAGAAUAAGCACCGGCUAACUACGUGCCAGCAGCCGCGGUAAUACGUAGGGUGCAAGCGUUAAGCGGAAUUACUGGGCGUAAAGCGUGCGCAGGCGGUUUUGUAAGUCUGAUGUGAAAUCCCCGGGCUCAACCUGGGAAUUGCAUUGGAGACUGCAAGGCUAGAAUCUGGCAGAGGGGGGUAGAAUUCCACGUGUAGCAGUGAAAUGCGUAGAUAUGUGGAGGAACACCGAUGGCGAAGGCAGCCCCCUGGGUCAAGAUUGACGCUCAUGCACGAAAGCGUGGGGAGCAAACAGGAUUAGAAACCCUUGUAGUCCCAUG
rnacentral:rRNA from 1 species